CUGACAAUGCAGGUUUCCCCGCUCGCCUGUUGGGUUUUUGAAACGCCCUCAGCGGCGUUUUCCUCCUAAUUCUGGUUCGGAGGAGCCAUCUCUCUCCAUCGCGUCUGCCAGCGGGGUUUGCUUCACACACAGACGUGGGCAUAUGGCAUCGGGGACACACGUGUGACCGCCGAGAAGGUUGCGGCGCAUUCGCGUUUCGGUUCACGGGACCCAGGCGUCGGCGCUUGCCCCCAGCGGCCUGGCGUCGGGCUGGAGCCCGGCAGAGGGAGGGAGGCGACCGGAAUCCGCGCUGGCUGAUCAGGGAGGGCCGGGCCUGCUGCUGGGGAACGUGGAGGGGCUCCGGACAGCCACACGCCCUGGCCGGUCACGGAAAGCUCCGAGGGACAUUCGGUCGGCCUUCGGGGACGAGGCUGGCCGCCGCAGCGCGAACUGGGGUUGCGGGCGGAGCGGCUAGCGGCGCCCGGAGUGGGGCAGCAAGGGAGCCCCUGCGCAGGGAGGACACCGACGGGGCGGCGGGGAG